rnacentral:rRNA from 1 species
CCCGUUGCCAGCCCGCUCAGAAACUCAAAGGAAGUUGACGGGGCCCGGCACAAGCGGAGGAGCAUGUGGUUUAAUUCGAUGAUACGCGAGGAACCUUACCUGGGCUCGAACGUAAGAUGACUGUAGGUGAAAGCUUACAUCUCUUCGGAGCAUUUUACGAGGUGCUGCAUGGUUGUCGUCAGCUCGUGCCGUGAGGUGUCGGGUUAAGUCCCAUAACGAGCGCAACCCCUACCUUUAGUUGCCAUCAGGUUAAGCUGGGGACUCUAAAGGAACUGCCUACGCAAGUAGUGAGGAAGGCGGGGAUGACGUCAAAUCAGCACGGCCCUUACGUCCAGGGCUACACACGUGCUACAAUGGCCGAUACAGAGGGCAGCUACCUGGUGACAGGAUGCAAAUCUCCAAAGUCGGUCUCAGUUCGGAUCGGAGUCUGCAACCCGACUCCGUGAAGUUGGAUUCGCUAGUAAUCGCGCAUCAGCCAUGGCGCGGUGAAUACGUUCCCGGGCCUU